AUACGGAGGGUGCGAGCGUUAAUCGGAAUUACUGGGCGUAAAGCGCGCGUAGGCGGUUUGUUAAGUCGGAUGUGAAAUCCCCGGGCUCAACCUGGGACCUGCAUCCGAUACUGGCAGGCUAGAGUCUGGCAGAGGGGGGUAGAAUUCCUGGUGUAGCGGUGAAAUGCGUAGAUAUCAGGAGGAAUACCAGUGGCGAAGGCGGCCCCCUGGACUGAGACUGACGCUGAGGUGCGAAAGCGUGGGGAGCAAACAGGAUUAGAUACCCUAGUAGUCC
rnacentral:rRNA from 1 species